CACCGCCUGGGGAGUACGACCGCAAGGUUAAAACUCAAAUGAAUUGACGGGGACCCGCACAAGUAGUGGAGCAUGUGGUUUAAUUCGAAGAUACGCGCAGAACCUUACCAACACUUGACAUGUUUGUCGCGACUUUAAGAGAUUAAAGUCUUCGGUUCGGCCGGACAAAACACAGGUGCUGCAUGGCUGUCGUCAGCUCGUGUCGUGAGAUGUUGGGUUAAGUCCCGCAACGAGCGCAACCCUCACUUUUAGUUGCCAUCAUUUAGUUGGGCACUCUGAAAGAACUGCCGGUGAUAAGCUGGAGGAAGGUGGGGAUGACGUCAAGUCCUCAUGGCCCUUACGUGUUGGGCUACACACGUGCUACAAUGGCAUUUACAAUAGGAAGCAAGAUGGCGACAUCAAGCAAAUCCUAAAAAGGUGCCUCAGUUCGGAUUGUACUCUGCAACUCGAGUACAUGAAGCUGGAAUUACUAGUAAUCGCGGAUCAGCGCGCCGCGGUGAAUACGUUCCCGGGUCUUGUACACACCGCCCGUCACACCAUGGGAGUUGGUUCUACCUUAAGGCAAAGUUUAAUACCUUUGACCACGGUAUAGUCAGCGACUGGGGUGAAGUCGUAACAAGGUAGCCGUAGGGGAACCUGCGGCUGGAUUACCUCCUUUCUAAGGAUGAUUAAGGAAUUUUUCUUAAUCUAAAUAAUUAACAGGUUAAUGUUGACCGUCCUCAUUUCUCUUCUUUAAAUCAAAGUGUUACUUUGACUAAAAUGGGCCGGUAGCUCAGUUGGUUAGAGCACACCCUUGAUAAGGGUGGGGUCGAAAGUUCGAGUCUUUCUCGGCCCACCAUAGUUUUUAAAACUGGGGGAUUAGCUCAGCUGGGAGAGCGCCUGAUUUGCAUUCAGGAGGUCAGCGGUUCGAUCCCGCUAUCCUCCACCAGUAACACUUAGUUAUUUUAAUUGUAAAUAUUUAUAUAAUAUCAAUAUCUAUAUCCGAUUGUUCGAAUAGAUGAACAAUCAAUAUGUUUAAUUGCUAAUGUUAAACAUUCAAAAAUUUGAUCCAACACAGAAUUUUUUUCUG
rnacentral:sRNA from 1 species